rnacentral:snRNA from 2 species
AUCGCUUCUCGGCCUAAUGGCUAAGAUCAAGUGUAGUAUCUGUUCUUAUCAGCUUAACAUCUGAUACACCAUCAAUUCGGUGGUUCAUAUGUUAAACUAAUUUUUAGACUUUGGUGGAGAAUAGGGGCUUGCUCCUGCUCCACCGCGGGUUGGCCUGGAGUUGCACUACUUCCAGGAUUCGACCCACAUAUU